CAACCCUCGCGCCCAUCUGGGCUGCGGUGCUGGGGACCGGCCUGCCCUCGCGGCGGCGCCGCCCCCGAAAUACAUUGGCGGUCUCGCUGCAGCCUCCCCUGCGUAGUAGCACACCUCGCACCGGAGCGCAGCGCGGCCACGCCGUUAAACCCCCGACUCUUUGA
rnacentral:misc_RNA from 2 species